rnacentral:rRNA from 1 species
UGCGUAGGCGGCCCGGGAAGUUGGGUGUGAAAGCCCUCGGCUCAACCGAGGAAUAGCGCCCAAAACUGCCGGGCUAGAGGGAGACAUAGGUGAGCGGAACUUAGGGUGGAGCGGUGAAAUGCGUUGAGAUCCUAAGGAACACCAGUAGCGAAAGCGGCUCACUGGGUCUCUUCUGACGCUGAAGCACGAAAGCUAGGGGAGCGAAGAGGAUUAGAUACCCUCGUAGUCCUAGCCGUAAACAAUGAGCACUGAUUUGGAGGGUCCUCCAUAGCCUUCCAGAUGUAGCGAAAGUGUUAAGUGCUCCGCCUGGGGAGUAUGGUCGCAAGGCUGAA